rnacentral:rRNA from 1 species
GAUGAACGCUGACAGAAUGCUUAACACAUGCAAGUCAACUGUGGCGGACGGGUGAGUAACGCGUAAAGAACUUGCCUCACGGAUAGGGACAACAUUUGGAAACGAAUGCUAAUACCUGCUACUGUGAGAGAGCUUUGCGUCCCAUUAGCUCGUGGGAGAGGUAACGGCUCACCAAGGCGAUGAUGGGUAGCCGGCCUGAGAGGGUGAGCGGCCACAAGGGGACUGAGGCACGGCCAGUACGCCAACGGGAGGAAGCAGUGGGGAAUAUGGGACAAUGGACCAAAGUCUGCUCCAGCAAUGCUGUGUGCACGAUGAAGUUGUAGGAAUGUACAGUGAUUUCAGUUGGGAAGCGGUACCAACAGAAGAAGUGACGGCUAAAUCCGUGCCAGCAGCCGCGGUAAUAC